UACGGAGGGUGCGAGCGUUGUCCGGAAUCAUUGGGCGUAAAGGGCGCGUAGGUGGCCCGGUCAGUUCGUGGUGAAAGCGCGGGGCUCAACCCUGCGUCGGCCAUGAAUACUGCCGCGGCUGGAGCACUGUAGAGGCAGGCGGAAUUCCCGGUGUAGAGGUGAAAUUCGUAGAUAUCGGGAGGAACACCAGUGGCGAAGGCGGCGAUCUGGGCAGAUACUGACGCUGAGGUGCGAAAGCGUGGGGAGCAAACAGG
rnacentral:rRNA from 1 species